rnacentral:rRNA from 1 species
GAUGAACGCUGGCGGCGUGCCUAAUACAUGCAAGUCGAGCGAACAGACGAGGAGCUUGCUCCUCUGACGUUAGCGGCGGACGGGUGAGUAACACGUGGAUAACCUACCUAUAAGACUGGGAUAACUUCGGGAAACCGGAGCUAAUACCGGAUAAUAUAUUGAACCGCAUGGUUCAAUAGUGAAAGACGAUUUUGCUGUCACUUAUAGAUGGAUCCGCGCCGCAUUAGCUAGUUGGUAAGGUAACGGCUUACCAAGGCAACGAUGCGUAGCCGACCUGAGAGGGGGGUCCGCCACCCCGGGAACGGGCACCCGUCCCGGACCCCUCGGGGGGCAGCAGUGAGGAAUUCUCCCGCAAGGGGCAAAGGCCGACCGGGGCAGCCCCGGUGGAGUAAGAAAGGUCUUCGUACCUAAAACCUUUUUUAUGAGGAAAAAACAAUUGUGUAAGAAACUAUGCCCGUUUUAAGGUUCCCAAAUAAGAAGCCCACGCCAAACUCCGGC